GAAUUAUGUUAUGGUACCGUAAUUUCGUUGUUAAACAACGUGAUUAUGUCUUGUUUAAUAAUUUAGAAUUUUCCGUUAUAGGUAUUAUGAAUAUAAUAGCGAAUGUUUUUAGAAACUUAAUGCAGGUAUCAUUGGAUAAUCAAAAUUAUGCUUCAUUUUAAAAGUAUCUGUUUUUGUCAGUGCAAAAUGAGGACUAGUACCAUGUUGAGUAGUAAGGUGAAUCAUCACAUUGAAGGGAGAUGAAGUCCAAGAAGCCAAAAAUUGCAAAUAUUAUUCUCUUGGUUUUUAGAUGUGAAUAAAUUUUAGAUGUGUUAAUAAAAAUCCCAUUUAAAGUAAAAAAAUGAGUUUUAUACACAUUCAGAAUCAGCAAUAGAUAACUAAUUUUCAACAUAUUAAAAGUUCAUUAAAAUUAGAAAUUGUUAAAAAUUAU